GUCCCCACCAUGGUCUGGACGGUGCUUCUGCUCCAGCUCCUGGCGCACAGCUCAGGGGUGGAUUCUCAGACUGUGGUGACCCAGGAGCCGUCCAUGUCAGUAUCUCCAGGAGGGACAGUCACACUCACCUGUGGCCUUAGCUCUGGGUCAGUCUCUACUAGUAACUACCCCGGCUGGUACCAGCAGACCCCAGGCAAGCCUCCCCGCCUGCUCAUCUACAGCACAAACAGCCGCCCCUCUGGGGUCCCUGACCGCUUCUCUGGCUCCAUCUCUGGGAACAAAGCCGCCCUCACCAUCUCGGGGGCCCAGCCUGAGGACGAGGCCGACUAUCACUGUAAUUUGUACAUGGGUAGUAACAUUUACACGGUGAUUGGGACAGGGUCCAGGACUGAGUCGGGGAGACCCCAGGCCCUUCAGAGCCCAGACAUGAGAUCCCUGACAUCCUCCUGA